GACGAACGCUGGCGGCGUGCCUAAUACAUGCAAGUUGAGCGAUGAAGAUUGGUGCUUGCACCAAUUUGAAGAGCAGCGAACGGGUGAGUAACGCGUGGGGAAUCUGCCUUUGAGCGGGGGACAACAUUUGGAAACGAAUGCUAAUACCGCAUAAUAACUUUAAACAUAAGUUUUAAGUUUUAAAGAUGCAAUUGCAUCACUCAAAGAUGAUCCCGCGUUGUAUUAGCUAGUUGGUGAGGUAAAGGCUCACCAAGGCGAUGAUACAUAGCCGACCUGGGAGGGUGAUCGGCCACAUUGGGACUGAGACACGGCCCAAACGCCUACGGGAGGCAGCAGUAGGGAAUCUUCGGCAAUGGACGAAAGUCUGACCGAGCAACGCCGCGUGAGUGAAGAAGGUUUUCGGAUCGUAAAACUCUGUUGGUAGAGAAGAACGUUGGUGAGAGUGGAAAGCUCAUCAAGUGACGGUAACUACCCAGAAAGGGACGGCUAACUACGUG
rnacentral:rRNA from 1 species